UAUUGUUUCAGCAAUACAUAUGCUAAAAUUGGAAUAAUACAGAGGAGCUUAGUAUGGUCUCUGUGCAAGAAUGAGACACAAAUUCAUGAAAUGUUUUAUAUUUUC